rnacentral:tmRNA from 1 species
GGGGCUGCACCGGUUUCGACGUGGGUUCGGACACGCAGCAGGGCAUGUCGAGGCUCAGUUACCUCGUUAAUCCAUCUGAAACAAACCAACUGCGAACGACGAACGUUUCGCCCUCGCCGCUUAAACACCGGUGAGCCUUGCAACAGUCGGCCGAUGGGCUGGGCAAAAGGGAGCAAUCCCCUAGCUGCAAGGUAAUCUACAUUGGCUGGCCCCCGACCGGGUACCUUGGUCGGGAGCGAGAAAAUAGGGUGCUGGCCGGCCGGAUAGCGUGCGACUGCGCGAUCCGGUUGGCGAGACACAAACCAGAUCGCUAAACAUGUAGAACUGUUCGUAGAAGGCUUGCGGACGCGGGUUCAAUUCCCGCCAGCUCCACCA